CGAUUCGCCUUCUUGGUCAUUAGAGGAAGUAAAAGUCGUAACAAGGUUUCGCUGAACAGUAUCCUUCCUGGUAACUUUCGGAAGCCUAUGCAACUGAAGAGGUCCGCGACUAUAAAUACAGGAUGCAAGUAGCCUAACGGCUGCAACAUAUCGAAUUGCGGGGACGUCCUAAAGCCUAGCGGUACCAACUUCCUGGGGAACUCAGGGAGGGCCUGUGCUAAUCACACAGGGGGUAAGAACCCGCUAGAUACUGCAAUGGAUAAUCCGCAGCGAAGCCCCUAACGGUGCAAGCCUACGGGAACGUCCACAGACUAAGUGGUUAUGGGUAGAGUGCGCUCUACUUAAAUAUAGUCGGUCUCUGUAAGAAAUUACAGAGGUUAAACGUUCCGUAGGUAACCUGCGGAAGGAUCAUUACAGAGUAUCAUGCCCUAACGGGUAGAUCUCCACCCUUGUAAAUAUAACAAUCUGUUGCUUUGGCGGGCUGUGAGCCUACUUGCCCGGGUUUAGGCCCGGUUAUGCCCGCCAGAGGACCCAAAAUUCUAAUAUUAUGUCGUCUGAGUACUAUAAAAUAGUUAAAACUUUCAACAACGAUCUCUUGGUUCUGGCAUCGAUGAAGAACGCAGCGAAAUGCGAUAAGUAUGUGAAUUGCAGAAUUCAGUGAAUCAUCGAAUCUUUGAACGCACAUUGCCCCCUUGGUAUUCCGGGGGGCAUGCCUGUUCGAGCGUCAUUAUAACCAACCAGCCUAGCUGGGUCUUGGGCCUCGCCGUCUGGCGGGCCUCGAAACUAUGGCGGUGCUUUUAAGCUCUACGCGUAGUAAUUUUAUCUCGCGAUAGUGCUUGGGAGAUACUUGCCAUCAACCCCAAAUUUUUUCAGGUUGACCUCGGUCAGGUAGGGAUACCCGCUGAACUUAAGCAUAUCAAUAAGCGGAGGGAA
rnacentral:rRNA from 1 species